CCUGGAACCGACAGGUGAAAAUGCCUGUCAGGGGAUAAAGAUCCUGGAUUGAUGUUUUCAAGUAAAUCUGGUACCAUGACAACAGUGCCAUGAAGCUAAGCAGACACAUAUUGAGGGUCGUUCCUAUGGCAGCAGAGAGGAGUGGCCAAUGGAACAACAUAUACCUGUUUGGAGACAAAUGUUCUGAAAAUGGAUUCAUUUUAUUUGAAACUGCUAUUUAUUCACAUUAAUUUCUGAAUAAUCUAUAUUGUUUUUUUUGUUUGUUUGUUUUAGAAAGCUCAUAUCAAUCAUACACACCUCAAACCAGUAAAAUGAGCAUGUAUCUUCAGUGUUGCUGAAUAAAUUUGUAUCUUUAAAUUCUGAACCUCUAUAUAUGCUCCAAUGGCUGGAUUAUACUGAAAUUGUCAAAGAAGUAUUUUUAAGUAAAUCCAUAUUUCUAUCACAAUAUCUAUGGUGGAAUGCACCUAUAUC